GAUGAACGCUGGCGGCGUGCCUAAUACAUGCAAGUCGAGCGAACGGACGAGAAGCUUGCUUUUCUGAUGUUAGCGGCGGACGGGUGAGUAACACGUGGAUAACCUACCUAUAAUACUGGGAUAACUUCGGGAAACCGGAGCUAAUACCGGAUAAUAUUUUGAACCGCAUGGUUCAAAAGUGAAAGACGGUCUUGCUGUCACUUAUAGAUGGAUCCGCGCUGCAUUGGCUAGUUGGUAAGGUAACGGCUUACCAAGGCAACGAUGCAUAGCCGACCUGAGAGGGUGAUCGGCCACACUGGAACUGAGACACGGUCCAGACUCCUACGGGAGGCAGCAGUAGGGAAUCUUCCGCAAUGGGCGAAAGCCUGACGGAGCAACGCCGCGUGAGUGAUGAAGGUCUUCGGAUCGUAAAACUCUGUUAUUAGGGAAGAACAUAUGUGUAAGUAACUGUGCACAUCUUGACGGUACCUAAUCAGAAAGCCACGGCUAACUACGUG
rnacentral:rRNA from 1 species